UGCGGGGUAGUGUAAUGGUCGCACGCCAGGCUUUGAACCUGGAAAUCUUGGUCCGAUUCCAAGCCCCGCAG
rnacentral:tRNA from 1 species